CAAAAGGGGCGACCAGGAGCUUUUUCUUCAAGCCCUAAAUUCUUCAAAAUCUUACAAAUUGAAGGCCAAGAUCUGUCCCAAAUCGAAGUUAGAGCUAAGAUUAGUGAUCCUCACAGCAAGAGGGUUACAAGGAAAGGACGCAGGAGCGUCAAGCGGGCAAGCGAGUGGCGAACCACGUUUGAAGGGCCUACUUUGAAGGAAAGGACGCAGGAGCGUCAAGCGGGCAAGCGAGUGGCGAACCACGUUUGAAGGGCCUACUUUGAAGUUCUAGGUACUCACGGAUUACGGAUGACGGUCAAGCAAACUUUGAAGAACCGAACACUACAUUUAGAAGCUUCCGCGAUGUUUUAAAUCUUUAGUAGACUUUGUGUAUGGGUUGUAAACACUUGUUAAACUACUUUUGAAAUGUUUUAACCUAGUCAUUAGUUGACUAAGGUUAACGUACUUUUGAA